rnacentral:rRNA from 1 species
AUGGCAAACUUUGAUCAGCGCGUCGAGCUUCUUCAAUCCUCUGGCAAAGGCGGCUUCAGAUCUUCAGCCAACGCCGCUACUUGUGGGCGCGGGCAGCAGCGUGGUCGUGGCAUGUCCCGCGGCCGCGGUGGCGGGCGCGGUGGACAUGGUCGCGACUCUGGUGGUGCUUCCCUGGCUACAACAACAACAAGGGGCGCCCAGGACCAGGAGGACCGGCUGGUGGGGGUUUCCGCAACGACAAUUGCCCCCACUACCAAAUAUGCAGCAAGCGAGGCCACAUUGCCAUGGAUUGCUGGUACCGGUUCACGAAUGACUAUCUUGCAGAAGAGAAGGUGGCCGGAUCUGCAGCAACCUCAUCAUAUGGGGUGGACACAAAUUGGUACGCCGACAGCGGCGCUACUAAUAACAUCACGGGUGAACUCGAGAAGUUAA